GUGGGCGUGCUGGAGUGGUUAACGGGCAUGAUUAGAAAUCAUGUGGGCUUUGCCCGCGCAGGUCCGAAUCCUGCCGCUCACG
rfam:Ipomoea nil DNA, scaffold: scaffold2283, cultivar: Tokyo-kokei standard.